CCUACGGGAGGCAGCAGUGGGGAAUAUUGCACAAUGGGCGAAAGCCUGAUGCAGCAACGCCGCGUGAGCGAUGAAGGCCUUCGGGUCGUAAAGCUCUGUCCUCAAGGAAGAUAAUGACGGUACUUGAGGAAGAAGCCCCGGCUAACUACGUGCCAGAAGCCGCGGUAAUACUGAGGGGGCUAGCGUUAUCCGGAAUUACUGGGCGAAAAGGGUGCGUAGGUGGUUUCUUAAGUCAGAGUUGAAAGGCUAGGGUUAAACCGUAGUAGGCCUUUGAAACUGGGAAACUUGAGUGCAGGAGAGGAGAGUGGAAUUCCUAGUGUAGCGGUGAAAUGCGUAGAUAUUAGGAGGAACACCAGUGGCGAAGGCGGCUCUCUGGACUGUAACUGACGCUGAGGCACGAAAGCGUGGGGAGCAAACAGGAUUAGAUACCCGUGUAGUC
rnacentral:rRNA from 1 species